rnacentral:rRNA from 1 species
GACGAACGCUGGCGGCGUGCUUAACACAUGCAAGUCGAACGAUGAAGCCGGAGCUUGCUCUGGUGAAUUAGUGGCGAACGGGUGAGUAACACGUGAGUAACCUGCCCUUGACUCUGGGAUAACUGCUAGAAAUGGUAGCUAAUACCGGAUACGACCCUCGGAGGCAUCUCCAGGGGGUGGAAAGAAUUUCGGUCAAGGAUGGACUCGCGGCCUAUCAGCUAGUUGGUGAGGUAACGGCUCACCAAGGCGACGACGGGUAGCCGGCCUGAGAGGGUGACCGGCCACACUGGGACUGAGAAACGGCCCAGACUCCAACGGGAGGCAGCAGUGGGGAAUAUUGCACAAUGGGCGCAAGCCUGAUGCAGCAACGCCGCGUGAGGGAUGACGGCCUUCGGGUUGUAAACCUCUUUUAGCAGGGAAGAAGCGAAAGUGACGGUACCUGCAGAAAAAGCACCGGCUAACUACGUGCCAGCCGCCGCGGUAA